GACGAACGCUGGCGGCGUGCUUAACACAUGCAAGUCGAACGGAAAGGCCUGCAGCUUGCUGCGGGUACUCGAGUGGCGAACGGGUGAGUAACACGUGGGUGAUCUGCCUUGCACUUCGGGAUAAGCUUGGGAAACUGGGUCUAAUACCGGAUAGGACAGCUGUUUAGUGUCAGUUGUGGAAAGUUUUUUCGGUUCAAGAUGGGCUCGCGGCCUAUCAGCUUGUUGGUUGGGUAAUGGCCUACCAAGGCGUCGACGGGUAGCCGGCCUGUGAGGGUGAACGGCCAAAAUGGGACUGAGAUACGGCCCAGACUCCAACGGGAGGCAGCAGUGGGGAAUAUUGCACAAUGGGCGGAAGCCUGAUGCAGCGACGCCGGGUGGGGGAUGAAGGCCUUCGGGUUGUAAACACCUUUCGACAGGGACGAAGAUUUUGUGACGGUACCUGUAUAAGAAGCACCGGCUAACUACGUG
rnacentral:rRNA from 1 species